GACGAACGCUGGCGGCGUGCUUAACACAUGCAAGUCGAACGGAAAGGCCCUGCUUUUGUGGGGUGCUCGAGUGGCGAACGGGUGAGUAACACGUGAGUAACCUGCCCUUGACUUUGGGAUAACUUCAGGAAACUGGGGCUAAUACCGGAUAGGAGCUCCUGCUGCAUGGUGGGGGCUGGAAAGUUUCGGCGGUUUGGGAUGGACUCGCGGCUUAUCAGCUUGUUGGUGGGGUAGUGGCUUACCAAGGCUUUGACGGGUAGCCGGCCUGAGAGGGUGACCGGCCACAUUGGGACUGAGCUACGGCCCAGACUACUACGGGAGGCAGCAGUGGGGAAUAUUGCACAAUGGGCGGAAGCAUGAUGCAGCAACGCCGCGUGCGGGAUGACGGCCUUCGGGUUGUAAACCGCUUUCGCCUGUGACGAAGCGUGAGUGACGGUAAUGGGUAAAGAAGCACCGGCUAACUACGUG
rnacentral:rRNA from 1 species